UCCUUCGGAGUUUUCCAGAACUUGCUUGGACUUGCUUGGAAUGCAGCAAGCACAACAGCAAUUUAGGGUUUCCGUGCAUUCGCUCUCCGAUCACAAGCUUCCAUCACUUUCACUGAAUUCAAUGCCGAUGCGUCAGGGUUUGAACCUGUUCAUGGAUUGUUGAAGACCUGAUCACGAGUCUGGAGCCCCCUUGGGCACGAGGGAAACGAAAUGUGGAAUCGAAUGAGCUAUUGGAUGUGAAAUUUGAACUUUCCUUGUUAUGGAGUGGAAUGACAUAAAAUCCUGAAGUUGAAUUCAGGUGAAGCAAGCUGAUGAGUCGGAAAAAAUUCUAGCCAAAAGAAUUUACGUUUGUUGUCAAUAAGGGUGGAAACAGUUUAAGUGCUUUGAAGAAAAGAAGUUUUUUUUGGACAGAACUAAGUUUUUCAGAGUUUUACGUGUGUGCUCUAAAUGGGCUGUAAGAUUUCUUAGUCACAAUUCAUCUUGAUCUUGUUGCUGUUAAUGAUGAAUACAGUGGUUCUCUCAUUUGUAUUGAGAGACUUCCGUUGUAAGAUGCAUGUAAUGUAGAGAUUUUUUUUGUA